AGUGAACGCUGGCGGUAGGCCUAACACAUGCAAGUCGAACGGCAGCACAGUAAGAGCUUGCUCUUACGGGUGGCGAGUGGCGGACGGGUGAGGAAUACAUCGGAAUCUACUUUUUCGUGGGGGAUAACGUAGGGAAACUUACGCUAAUACCGCAUACGACCUACGGGUGAAAGCAGGGGAUCUUCGGACCUUGCGCGAUUGAAUGAGCCGAUGUCGGAUUAGCUAGUUGGCGGGGUAAAGGCCCACCAAGGCGACGAUCCGUAGCUGGUCUGAGAGGUUGAUCCGCCAACCGUGAACCGGAGACCGGGUCCAACUCCUUCGGGAAGCAGGCAGUGGGAAUUAUUGGAAAAGGGGGGAAAGCCUGACCAAGCAAUCCCGCGUGGUUGAAGAGGCCUUCGGGGUGGUAAAGCCUUUUUUUGGGAAAAAAAAGCCAGCGGGUUAAACCCCGGCUUUUUGACCGUAACCAAAGGAAAAGGCACGGCUAACUUCGUG
rnacentral:rRNA from 1 species